AUUGAACGCUGGCGGCAUGCCUUACACAUGCAAGUCGAACGGUAACAGGUCUUCGGAUGCUGACGAGUGGCGAACGGGUGAGUAAUACAUCGGAACGUGCCUAGUAGUGGGGGAUAACUACUCGAAAGAGUGGCUAAUACCGCAUGAGAUCUACGGAUGAAAGCAGGGGAUCGCAAGACCUUGUGCUACUAGAGCGGCCGAUGGCAGAUUAGGUAGUUGGUGGGAUAAAAGCUUACCAAGCCGACGAUCUGUAGCUGGUCUGAGAGGACGAUCAGCCAAACUGGGACUGGGACACGGCCCAGACUCAUACGGGAGGCAGCAGUGGGGAAUUUUGGACAAUGGGCGCAAGCCUGAUCCAGCAAUGCCGCGUGCAGGAUGAAGGCCUUCGGGUUGUAAACUGCUUUUGUACGGAACGAAAAGCCCCGGGUUAAUACCCUGGGGUCAUGACGGUACCGUAAGAAUAAGCACCGGCUAACUACGUGCCAGCCGCCGCCGUAA
rnacentral:rRNA from 1 species